rnacentral:misc_RNA from 1 species
AUGCGAUAAGUAAUGUGAAUUGCAGAAUUCAGUGAAUCAUCGAAUCUUUGAACGCACCUUGCGCCUUUUGGUAUUCCGAAAGGCAUGCCUGUUUGAGUGUCAUGAAAUAUCAACCCCUCCUGGUUUCUGAUCAGUGUUGGGCUUGGACUUGGGUGUCUGCCAGCUCGCUGGCUCGCCUUAAAAGAGUUAGUGGUAAUAACAUCCACGGCUAAGACGUAAUAAGUUUCGUCUGGUCAAGGUGUGACGACUGCUCAUAACCCGACCGCAAGGUCAUUAUUUUAUGCUCUGACCUCAAAUCAGGUAGGACUACCCGCUGAACUUAA